UCUAACAGUGCGUGCUAAUAAUUAAUAAGAUGCAUUCAGAACUUCCCACGUAAGCAAAAUGUGUGGCUUGGGGAUGAAUAAGAGGCGGUGAAGGGGGAAGACAAUGAAAUUCACCUUAAAAUUUCAAGGAGAAAAUAAAAAUCUGAAGACUGUAUCACCAGCAUGGAAAAAAAAAUCCACCUUUCCAGAGCUCCUGUCUGUCUGCAUGACCUCUUUGGGAAAAGAAAAAGACCACAUCUCAGGAUAAAACAAAUGCCUAUUUCCACUCUAAUCCAGCUUUCCCCAUGUUCCAACAGCCCUACAUGGGACAGCUCCACAUGCAAACUCGCAUCCAGAUCCAAUAAUUGCCCUUUAAGAAGCUUAUCAUGCAUUGAAGAAUGUCAGCUUGACAAUCUGUAGGUGGCGAAUGGCAGCAUGUUGAUUUUCAAAUGAAGAAGCUGAGACAGAGAGUGCCAGAGACAAAACCCACACUGCGUUUCUUGAAGGAGGCUGCCUCUUCCAGCUACAGCCCUGCCGUCCAUGAGAUCAGCAGCAGAUAUUUGUAAACGGCUGAAUAAGUGCUCAGACUGUGAAACGUUUUCUCACCUCAUAAAGUUACAUGAAACACAAGAGGACAGAACCAACUGGCAAUCUAGCCUAGGCAUGGAUUCAAUCACUGAGAAGACAAAUGCCUUUCUCUACCCAAAACUGCUCCUAUGAGAAAUGGAAUAGCAACAUACCAACAAUAAUAAUAAAGCCGAAAAACAAAAAAAAGAAAAAAAAACAGGCACAGAAGUAUACAUUUAAGAAGAAAAAAAGGGUGAAAAGCAUCAUGUUGAAAAGCAUCAGUUAUAUUCUAAUUGUGGGGGAACAUUUCAGUCUAUUUCCUCAAUUUCUAACCUAUUUUUCUAACGUACACAGUUGAGAUUGAAGCUGAAACCUCUAUGCUCAUCUUGGAAAGCCACUCACAUGUGCCCCAGGCCACCUUUCAAGAAACCCGAAGUACCAGCCACGUGGUACACAGCUUCCUGCAGUCUCCACCGCAGGUCCUCCUUCCAUCUCUAGGCCCAACUCGGAUGCCAUCUGUCUGUGGAAUGUUUCCAGCUGGAACGCAAUGUGUUACUUCUUAUGGCAGCAACGAUGUAACUCGAAACACCAUCAUCUAUGGAAAGCUUAGCACAAUUGGCCAAGAAAGUGCUUUUCUUUACAUUUACAUUCAAUACUGUCACCUGGAAACAAAAAUUUCCAAGGUACCAGCUGCUAAUUUGUUGAAUAUUCCUUUUGUGCGUUUGAUAGAAGCACUGUCCAAGUUUCUUCAGUAUUAUCACCAUGACAACAAAAAUUUAUGUCUACUUUUUUGCAUAUUAGUUGCUCCAGAAAAGUCCAGAAUGACAAGAAUGUCCGUCAGCUUGCCAACCACGGCUCUAAAGGGAUCUCCAUUUUCCUCUCACUCUUAAAUUCUUUGGUGACAAUAAAAAAAAAGCAGGAAGAUUUCUGUUUUCCA
rnacentral:lncRNA from 1 species